GGCGCCCAUGCCCAGGAGGCGGGCCAGACCUUCACGCACGCAAUCCAGCAGCCCCGAUGACGACUCGUCGCGCACGAUCUCGCUCUGCGGAGUCACGGGAAGUCACAUCACCAUCCUCCCAAGUUCAACGAAAGGAAUGGAUGAAGGCCUCACCUGCACGGUCUCGAUCAGGCUGGAGCAGUAGAAAGGAAGCGCCACCACCGCAGUCAAACUGCCAACAGGAAGUCACACUUGGUGUCAAAACAAAGGUACCGGCGAUGGUCGAUACAAAAUGUGAUGCUCUCCGGCGAUUGACGAAACUGUUGCCGUUUUCCGAUUAAUACGUCUAAAAAGAGAAAAAAAAAACAACCAAACAAAUACAAA